AUUGAACGCUGACGGAAUGCUUUACACAUGCAAGUCGAAGGGCAGCACGGACUUCGGUCUGGUGGCGAGUGGCGAACGGGUGAGUAAUGUAUCGGAACGUGCCCAGUCGUGGGGGAUAACGUAGUGAAAAUUACGCUAAUACCGCAUACGACCUAUGGAUGAAAGCGGGGGAUCGCAAGACCUCGCGCGAUAGGAGCGGCCGAUAUAAGAUUAGGUAGUUGGUUGGGUAAAGGCCCACCAAGCCAACGAUCUGUAGCUGGUCUGAGAGGACGACCAGCCACACGGGAACUGAGACACGGUCCAGACUCCUAAGGGAGGCAGCAGUGGGGAAUUUUGGACAAUGGGCGAAAGCCUGAUCCAGCCAUUCCGCGUGCAGUAUGAAGGCCCUCGGGUUGUAAACUGCUUUUGUACAGAACGAAAAGGUUUCUACUAAUACUAGGAGCUCAUGACGGUACUGUAAGAAUAAGCACCGGCUAACUACGUGCCAGCCGCCGCCGUAA
rnacentral:rRNA from 1 species